rnacentral:misc_RNA from 1 species
GAUGAAGAACGUAGCGAAAUGCGAUAAGUAGUGUGAAUUGCAGAAUUCAGUGAAUCAUCGAAUCUUUGAACGCACAUUGCGCCCCUUGGUAUUCCGAGGGGCAUGCCUGUUCGAGCGUCAUUAUAACCCCUCAAGCUCAGCUUGGUGUUGGGGCCUGCUGCACUGGCAGCCCUUAAAAUCAGUGGCGGCGCCAUCUGGCUCUAAGCGUAGUAAUUCUUCUCGCUAUGGAGUCCUGGUGGAUGCUUGCCAUCAACCCCCAAUUUUUCUAUGGUUGACCUCGGAUCAGGUAGGGAUACCCGCUGAACUUAAGCAUAUCAAAAGCGGAGGA